rnacentral:rRNA from 1 species
AUUGAACGCUGGCGGCAGGCCUAACACAUGCAAGUCGAGCGGAUGAGAAGAGCUUGCUCUUUGAUUCAGCGGCGGACGGGUGAGUAAUGCCUAGGAAUCUGCCUGGUAGUGGGGGACAACGUUUCGAAAGGAACGCUAAUACCGCAUACGUCCUACGGGAGAAAGCAGGGGACCUUCGGGCCUUGCGCUAUCAGAUGAGCCUAGGUCGGAUUAGCUAGUUGGUGAGGUAAUGGCUCACCAAGGCGACGAUCCGUAACUGGUCUGAGAGGAUGAUCAGUCACACUGGAACUGAGACACGGUCCAGGCUCCUACGGGAGGCAGCAGUGGGGAAUAUUGGACAAUGGGCGAAAGCCUGAUCCAGCCAUGCCGCGUGUGUGAAGAAGGUCUUCGGAUUGUAAAGCACUUUAAGUUGGGAGGAAGGGCAGUAAGUUAAUACCUUGCUGUUAUGACGUUACCGACAGAAUAAGCACCGGCUAACUCUGUGCCAGCCGCCGCGGUAAAAC